rnacentral:rRNA from 1 species
GAUGAACGCUGGCGGCGUGCCUAAUACAUGCAAGUCGAACGAAACUUCUUUAUCACCGAGUGCUUGCACUCACCGAUAAAGAGUUGAGUGGCGAACGGGUGAGUAACACGUGGGCAACCUGCCCAAAAGAGGGGGAUAACACUUGGAAACAGGUGCUAAUACCGCAUAACCAUAGUUACCGCAUGGUAACUAUGUAAAAGGUGGCUAUGCUACCGCUUUUGGAUGGGCCCGCGGCGCAUUAGCUAGUUGGUGGGGUAAAGGCUUACCAAGGCAAUGACGCGUAGCCGAACUGAGAGGUUGAUCGGCCACAUUGGGACUGAGACACGGCCCAAACUCCUACGGGAGGCAGCAGUAGGGAAUCUUCCACAAUGGGCGAAAGCCUGAUGGAGCAACGCCGCGUGGGUGAAGAAGGUCUUCGGAUCGUAAAACCCUGUUGUUAGAGAAGAAAGUGCGUGAGAGUAACUGUUCACGUUUCGACGGUAUCUAACCAGAAAGCCACGGCUAACUACGUGCCAGCAGCCGCGGUAAUACGUAGGUGGCAAGCGUUAUCCGGAUUUAUUGGGCGUAAAGGGAACGCAGGCGGUCUUUUAAGUCUGAUGUGAAAGCCUUCGGCUUAACCGGAGUAGUGCAUUGGAAACUGGGAGACUUGAGUGCAGAAGAGGAGAGUGGAACUCCAUGUGUAGCGGUGAAAUGCGUAGAUAUAUGGAAGAACACCAGUGGCGAAAGCGGCUCUCUGGUCUGUAACUGACGCUGAGGUUCGAAAGCGUGGGUAGCAAACAGGAUUAGAUACCCUGGUAGUCCACGCCGUAAACGAUGAGUGCUAGGUGUUAGGCCCUUUCCGGGGCUUAGUGCCGCAGCUAACGCAUUAAGCACUCCGCCUGGGGAGUACGACCGCAAGGUUGAAACUCAAAGGAAUUGACGGGGGCCCGCACAAGCGGUGGAGCAUGUGGUUUAAUUCGAAGCAACGCGAAGAACCUUACCAGGUCUUGACAUCCCAGUGACCGCUCUAGAGAUAGAGUUUUUCUUCGGAACACUGGUGACAGGUGGUGCAUGGUUGUCGUCAGCUCGUGUCGUGAGAUGUUGGGUUAAGUCCCGCAACGAGCGCAACCCUUAUUGUUAGUUGCCAUCAUUCAGUUGGGCACUCUAGCGAGACUGCCGGUAAUAAACCGGAGGAAGGUGGGGAUGACGUCAAAUCAUCAUGCCCCUUAUGACCUGGGCUACACACGUGCUACAAUGGUUGGUACAACGAGUCGCAAGUCGGUGACGGCAAGCAAAUCUCUUAAAGCCAAUCUCAGUUCGGAUUGUAGGCUGCAACUCGCCUACAUGAAGUCGGAAUCGCUAGUAAUCGCGGAUCAGCACGCCGCGGUGAAUACGUUCCCGGGCCU